rnacentral:rRNA from 1 species
CAGCCCUAAACGAUGCGCGUUAGGUGUAUCGGUGACCACGAGUCACCGAGGUGCCGAAGGGAAACCGUGAAACGUGCCGCCUGGGAAGUACGGUCGCAAGGCUGAAACUUAAAGGAAUUGGCGGGGGGAGGCACCACAACGGGUGGAGCCUGCGGUUUAAUUGGACUCAACGCCGGGAAGCUCACCGGAUAAGACAGCGGAAUGAUUGCCGGGGCUGAAGACCCUGCAUGACCAGCUGAGAGGAGGUGCAUGGCGUAGUCGUGU